GGUCCCUUAGCUCAGUUGGUUAGAGCGUGGUGCUAAUAUCGGGUGGUUUACUACCAAUCUCGAUUCAAUAUAUGGCGACGCCAAGGUCGCAGGUUCGACCCCUGCAGGGACCA